AUGUAGGGCAAGCUGAUUUUAAGUAGGGAUAAAUUACUCUAAAAGAAAUGAUAGUUUCCUGGAUAGCUUGCCUUCAAGUCAUGCAUCUUGU
rnacentral:pre_miRNA from 1 species